CUUCCUCCUUUAUCCGCCUCUAUGUGUUUCUUAUCCUCUCUCUCGCUCUUUCUAGUGUCUCUUUCAUUUACUCUCCUUCUCACAAACACCAUAUUUCGAACUCCCAUUCGAUUGAUCUACUUCUGAAACAGAUCUGAUUCAAAUCGACAAGUGUCGAUUCAUGAACUUUGAUGAUUAGGAGUGAGAAAUCAGGACUAUAACAGAAACCAUAGAUUUGAUGUAAAUAGUAUACUAUUUAUCCAAAAAUUACUAAAUAGUAUGAGUCUUUAGACUUUAGUAAAAACUAUAUCACUUCUAGAUACAAAAAUUGACAUCCACGAUUUGCAGAUAUUACUUUUGCAUUGUUUGGUACAUUAGAGAAUGUAGUAUCUGAUUUCUGGAAUUAAUUGCUUUUUUUAUUUUAUUGUGCUGCAAUAUGGUGUUGAAAUCAGAGUCACCGCCACCACCGCGACGACCACCACUGCAAUCAAUAUCACCACCGUCGUUGCCCACACCAUCACCGUCGUCGUUGCCCACACCACCAUCACCUCUCCUUAUCCCACCUUUUUUCUCGUCUUGUGUGCUUACCAAACUCACAAACUCUCAUUUCUCUCCACUCUCUAUAACACAUGAAAUCAUCAGCUUACAAUCUCACGCCCGUGUGUCUACACACUGAAACAAACAUGAAGGAGUAUUUAGACAUUUCAUCUCUCAUGUGUGCUAUUUAUUUAGUUUACCAUAUUAUACUGCUAUAUUCUUAAAUACUUUAUCAAAAUAUGUUAGUUUUACAAAAGACCC